CAGUGGUCAGCCACAGCCCAGGCACUCUGAAUUCAGACUAGCAGGAGGGAAUGAGAGGGUGUUCAUUUUGGUCAGGCCUGAAGAUUCUGAAGGCUGAAUGAAGGGGUGUAAUUUGAUAGAAGAGUGCUGCGGUUAAAUUUUUAUUAUCCUGGACCUAUCCCGGUUAUUGCCAAUGUUUGUUGUGUCAAGAACUCUCCAUACUAACAUACUGAAAUUAAUAAAAUGAGAAUAAUCAACCAGUGUCACCAAGGCCUGCAGGAUAAGCUAGCACAAUCCUUCCCUGAGAAACAGAGAAUCAAGCUGCAGGGUCCUCUUUAAGCCACAAUAUGCCUUUUUCAACCCCUCGGAUUUGAGGAAAACCCUGGAAUAAUCUGCUCAGUCAUGUCAUUGAGGCUUAUACAUGAGCUUCUUUCAUGACACAGCUGGGUGAGAUCCUCAGAUCACUUGCUAUAAAUGCUAACUGAAUGGCCUCCUCUCAUUUGUAGGCUUUUUUGUGUUUCUGAGUUUAUUCCAAGCAACUGUGUGGCAGUGUUAGAUUAGGCCUUCAGUCCUAUCCCAAAGUCAAGCAGGUACGUGUUGACUGGCUACUCUUAAAAUUGUCCCUUUCCAGGACUGGUUUCAAGUGAGCUUUCAUCCCUGGAGGAGGAGGGAUUUUUCCCAGUUGAACCCACUCCAGAGACAACAACAGGUUCACAGAAAAAUAUAGCCAGAUGCGGACGAUGGAUCGAAUGGCUGUUCUGCAUCUGUGGCCUUUUUAAUCGCUGUUGUUUCUCUUUCCUUGGACGUCAGGGGUAACGCUUGCUGCUGGAACACAGCAGGAGGCCUGCAGGCUGAGCCGUGCUCCGAAAUGCAGAGAUAUUUCCCUAUUAAUCCAAAACCACAGCUGGGUUUGUCUCUCUCAGUGACGCAAAAGACAGCUGUCUCAAGAGACAGAGAAGGGAACAAAUGCUGCUGCCCCACUGCCCCACUGCCUCAGCAAACAACCCUUUGCAUUUUCAAUGCAAAUGGAAUUCUGAGUUCCAGAUCCAGCAUGCUGAGCAAUAAGCUCACAAAAGCUCAAGCAGUGCUGUACAGCCUGCAGCAAAGCUUCAUGACAAGGAGAUGCAAUACGCAGUCAUGGGGCAAGUGGAGCAGUGUGGCCUGGGCCUAAAUAAUUCAGUGCUCCAGUUUGUCGUGGGGCGUUUUCAUGGGAUUGUGGACGAGUACGAAAAGAGGUCUCCACAUCAAACUCUUUUACUGGGAGUAAGGUGAGUGACUCUCUCCUAGACUGCCAGCAAUAGACAUACAGAUGUGCACCCACAGGCACACACACCAACCUCCUAUCACACACCAACUAUCUGCUCUCUUUCCAUGCUGCGUGAUGUGUCUUCAUCUUGCGAAGAGACUUGCUUUCAUUCCUGACAGAGGGGCUGUGAUCCCAGCACUCUCCCGGGUGGGACGCUGGGGAGACGGAUGUGUGCGGGACUGUGCUUGUGAGGCUAAUUGGCCCAGAGCGCUCGCUAAUUCUGCUGAGCUUAUUAGACAGUGAAAUCUACACUGGAAACAGGAGGCGAAUCUCUGUAAUUAGAACAUGAUGCUACACAGGGUGUCGGUCGCAGGAGGGUUAUUAAUACAGGAGGAAAUGAUCUGCGAAGGUCAAAGGUCUGGGAGAAGGAAGGGGCUGAUGCCCCAGGGGCAUGGCUCUCACAUGGACUAAGCAGGGGGCCUCCUUUCUCAGCACAGCGGGUG
ensembl:lincRNA